CAUUCACUGCCGGAGUAGUCAGCGACGUAUUUAGCUUCUUCUCACAAAUCAACGAUUCAUUCCUCAAACUUCUUCUCAUCAAUCCCACUUUAAAGAGCAUAUUAAUUUCAUAGUAAGUAAAUUCUUUUACUUCUGAUUGUUACGUCCAGUGCAGGAGAUGUUGGCGACGAUUUUUUAGCUUCUUCUCAGCAAUCGACGAUUCGUUCCUCAAUUCCUUCUCAUCAAUCCCACUUUAAAGAGCAUAUUAACUUCAUAGAGGAAAGCAUCCUCUGAUGAUAAGCAAUAUGCGUUGCUCAGUGAUAUAACUUCAACUAGAGAUGACUGGAAAAUCAAAGUGCGUCUCUCAAGGUUAUGGGAUAGCUUGAAUAUACUUGGAAGAAAAGAGCUAUUGAGCACCAACAAUAUGGUCCUUAUUGAUGAAAAGGGAAACUACAUUCAUGCAACAAUCUGGAAAAAUAUUUCUUACAGGCUGCAGUCUUGAUGGAGGAACGAUCUGUUAACAAAUGUUAUCGGUGUUGUCAUUUCAAUGAAUCCAAUCGAACAAAGAACGACUGAUGAGGACACGGUAGAUAUGAUAAGCGUCCAAUUACAAGACGCAAGGGGAAACAAAGUGAACAUCACAAUCUAGGAUGAUUAUGUCGCACUCUUUGAGGAACAAAAAGCAUAAUAAUAUCUCAUAGGUUAAUGUAGCUAUCUUUUCAUCAACGAGAGUUUGGGAGUUUCAUUGUAAGACUAUAAAAUAUCAAUACCGUUAUCAAUCAUAAGCUUUAAAUAUUUUCAUUACAUUUAAUCGAAAGCAUUUAUAAGUA